GGAAGAAGAAGAAAUUGAGGAAGCCACCGAAGCAAUAUGCAUUCGUUGGGUUACAACCAUGGAAGGAAUUUGUAACUUAGAGGAAGACAGAGGAAUGGCUGAAACUUAACAAUGACCAAAGGGAACGAGUCAAGAAGAGAAAAUAUCAUCAUAGAUUAUCAAGAAAGGGAUAUAUUGGACUGGAGGAAGAAUUGCGAGAUACUUGGCCUGAAGGAGAGGUAAUUGAUCGCGCUAUUAUGUGGAAGAAAGCCCGUUUACUAAAAAAUGGGGAGAUAAGUGAAGAGGUCACACCGGUAGCAAGAAAGAUAG